rnacentral:rRNA from 1 species
AUUGAACGCUGGCGGCAGGCCUAACACAUGCAAGUCGAGCGGAUGACGGGAGCUUGCUCCUUGAUUCAGCGGCGGACGGGUGAGUAAUACCUAGGAAUCUGCCUGAUAGUGGGGGACAACGUUUCGAAAGGAACGCUAAUACCGCAUACGUCCUACGGGAGAAAGCAGGGGACCUUCGGGCCUUGCGCUAUCAGAUGAGCCUAGGUCGGAUUAGCUAGUUGGUGAGGUAAUGGCUCACCAAGGCGACGAUCCGUAACUGGUCUGAGAGGAUGAUCAGUCACACUGGAACUGAGACACGGUCCAGACUCCUACGGGAGGCAGCAGUGGGGAAUAUUGGACAAUGGGCGAAAGCCUGAUCCAGCCAUGCCGCGUGUGUGAAGAAGGUCUUCGGAUUGUAAAGCACUUUAAGUUGGGAGGAAGGGCAGUAAGCUAAUACCUUGCUAUUUUGACGUUACCGACAGAAUAAGCACCGGCUAACUCUGUGCCAGCCGCCGCGGUAAUAC